GACAAGGGCACUGCGCCCUGUUCAGUGGUAUCCUGGUCAUACUGCCAAAACGGAGAAAGAACUCAAAAGAACAAUUGAAAUUGAUGGAUGCUGUGAUAGAGGUGCGAGAUGCGAGGAUUCCUUUGUCCACAAGUCAUCCACAGGAAAUUUGAUUUUCAAAAGAUGGCCGAGGUGGAGGCCUACAACAAGGUUGGAGCUCGCAAGAAACGUUUGAGGCAGGAACCCGCGGUAAAAGCUCGUGGCCAAGGUCUGAGGAAAGAGCUUGCAUACAGAGCUCGCGGAAAGGAAAGAGAUCGUAGAUAGAGCUCACGGAAAGGCCUGAAACAAGAGUUCGCAAGAAGAGCUCGCAAAAAAGGAUCGUGACAAGAGAUCGCAGAAAGAAUUUGCGGCCAAGGGCUUGGGGUAAGAGUGCAGAAAGAACUCGCAGCAAGGCUCGAGGCAAGAGCUCGCAGUAAAUGACUCAUUAUAAGGAGGCAUAUAAGCAUGAGCUUACGAUAAAGGAUCACAACAAGAGUUUGAGGCAAGAGCUCGCGGAAAGAUCUGAAGCUAGAGCUCGCAGGAAAGCUUGCGGAGAGAGUUGAGGAAAGAGCUAGCGGAAAGGCUUGAAGCGGAGCUUGCAGUAAUUGAUCAUGGGUAAGAGCUCGUAGUAAAUAGCUAACAAAAGGGGCUUGAGGUAAGAGUUCGCGUAAGAGCUUGCAGAGAGAGUUCACGACCAAGGGUUCAAGGUUUCUGCUAUUACAAUGUAUACGGACAUGGUGCCAAACAAAUAUUCAAAGUGACAUUUAGAUGAGGUAAGAGGCAUUCAAAUGGCUGUAAUAUUAUGUGAGUAUCAUUUAGAUGAUUCAAGGGGCAUUCGAAUGGGACUUAUAUAUAUAUAUAUAUUUGUGAAUGUUAUUCAGAUGCAUCAUUUAUGCUUCUGCGAGCUCAAUUUUGGCCAUAUAUACAUGAUUAAGCUCAAGAAGAUAUAGAAGCAAACAGAGCCUUGUAUAUGUAUCUAGACAACUAAAGUACCAUUCACUGAAUAAAACUUGGGGUGGAAACAAACCCCAUUUUGAGACACAAUGAGACCCCAACAAAUACCCAAAUAUAAAGACUCAAUGAACACCAACAGAAAGAGAAUCAUACACAGCAACAUGCAUAUAUAUAUAUUUAUAUAUAAUCCCUUACAGUGACUAAAAUGAAGAAACUAACAGGAGAACUCGCAUGAGACAAUAAAUAAACAAGGUGUCUUGCACUGAAAAUCAGAAUGGAUAAGAGAGCUCGGAUUGAAAAUAAAGUGGGAGUGCAAGAAGAACUUGCCUGAUGACUUCGCUAUACAGAAGAAUCCUCUCUUCCUGAAACUGCUAUAGACCAAGACGAAAAUACAAGCAACUAGGAGGGAAAAAGAAGACAUAAAAAAAAAAGAAGAAGUCUCUAAUGGCAAAAGCGAGUAUGCACAGGAGAAAGGUCACUAAUGCAGAUGAAGCUUGAAGAGGGAAAGAUGCACGGUCUGCAACUGUGAAUUGAUAGGAAGACCUGACUACCCUUCUCUUCCAACAAUGGACAAACGAAGGUCCAAUAGCACUAUUGAUAUUUGCUAACCAAACCAAUUUAAUUUAUAUUAUAAUUUUCUUUUAAAAAUUCAAAUUUCAUUUCUUAAUUAGGCUCAGUCCAUGCCUUGGGUUAUUCCAUGACCCUACUCACUAUUCCAAAUAAUUCUCAACAUUUAAUCUCAUUCAUAAUAUAAUUAAAAUUCUAAACACAUCUUAAUGUCCAAAUUCAUUUGGACUCUCCCCACAUUUGAAUCAUAUUUGAAUGGGUUACCAAAUUCUUAUUUCCACUUAUUCUUUAUUUCUUAAAAAAAUAUUUUCAAUUCUCAAUUAAUUAAGACAAAAAUUUUAAGCCUAUAAUAAAAUAUCUAAAAAUGCCUAGACCCUCUAAUGGGUCCUUACAGUUUUAUCUUCCCUUCUCCAUUUCCCAAUUGUAUACCAUUGGUGCUUAUUCUAAAUCUCAAUUCUCAUAAUCCCAUAAAAUCCACUUUAUCUUCCUAAUAUUAUAAAAAAAAAAUUAAUACUCUUAAGAAGUUCUCGAAAAUUCUUUCGCCUAAGACCCCCAAAUUUAUUGAGUCGGCUCUGCUUAUA